rfam:Oryza barthii chromosome 12, whole genome shotgun sequence.
AAAAAGUUAAACUCUGGGUUUUGAUGUCUAACUUUGACUAUCCGUUUUAUAUAAAAUUUUUUUUAUAAUUCAUAUUUUUAUUGUUGUUAAAUGAUAAAACAUGAUUAAUAUUUUAUACGUGACUUGUCUUUUUAAUUUUUUUAUAAUUUUUGUAAAUAAAAUGGACGGUCAAAUAUUGGGUACGGAAAUCAGCG